rnacentral:rRNA from 1 species
AGUGAACGCUGGCGGUAGGCCUAGCACAUGCAAGUCGAACGGCAGCACAGUAAGAGCUUGCUCUUACGGGUGGCGAGUGGCGGACGGGUGAGGAAUACAUCGGAAUCUACUUUUUCGUGGGGGAUAACGUAGGGAAACUUACGCUAAUACCGCAUACGACCUACGGGUGAAAGCAGGGGAUCUUCGGACCUUGCGCGACUGAAUGAGCCGAUGUCGGAUUAGCUAGUUGGCGGGGUAAGGGCCCACCAAGGCGACGAUCCGUAGCUGGUCUGAGAGGAUGAUCGGCCACACUGGAACUGAGACACGGUCCAGACUCCUACGGGAGGCAGCAGUGGGGAAUAUUGGGCAAUGGGCGCAAGCCUGAUCCAGCCAUACCGCGUGGGUGAAGAAGGCCUUCGGGUUGUAAAGCCCUUUUGUUGGGAAAGAAAAGCAGCAGGUUAAUACCCCGCUGUUCUGACGGUACCCAAAGAAUAAGCACCGGCUAACUUCGUG